rnacentral:rRNA from 1 species
AGCGAACGCUGGCGGCAGGCUUAACACAUGCAAGUCGAGCGGGCAUCCUUGUGGUGUCAGCGGCAGACGGGUGAGUAACGCGUGGGAACGUGCCCUUCGGUUCGGAAUAACUCAGGGAAACUUGAGCUAAUACCGGAUACGUGCGAGAGCAGAAAGGUUUAUCUGCCGAAGGAUCGGCCCGCGUCUGAUUAGCUAGUUGGUGAGGUUAUGGCUCACCAAGGCGACGAUCAGUAGCUGGUCUGCGAGGAUGAUCAGCCACACUGGGACUGAGACACGGCCCAGACUCCUACGGGAGGCAGCAGUGGGGAAUAUUGGACAAUGGGGGCAACCCUGAUCCCGCCAUGCCGCGUGAGUGAUGACGGCCUUAGGGUUGUAAAGCUCUUUUCUCCGGGACGAUAAUGACGGUACCGGAGGAAUAAGCCCCGGCUAACUUCGUG